GAUGAACGCUGGCGGCGUGCCUAAUACAUGAAAGUCGAGCGAACAGAUGAGGAGCUUGCUCCUCUGACGUUAGCGGCGGACGGGUGAGUAACACGUGGAUAACCUACCUAUAAGACUGGGAUAACUUCGGGAAACCGGAGCUAAUACCGGAUAAUAUAUUGAACCGCAUGGUUCAAUAGUGAAAGACGGUUUUGCUGUCACUUAUAGAUGGAUCCGCGCCGCAUUAGCUAGUUGGUAAGGUAACGGCUUACCAAGGCAACGAUGCGUAGCCGACCUGAGAGGGUGAUCGGCCACACUGGAACUGAGACACGGUCCAGACUCCUACGGGAGGCAGCAGUAGGGAAUCUUCCGCAAUGGGCGAAAGCCUGACGGAGCAACGCCGCGUGAGUGAUGAAGGUCUUCGGAUCGUAAAACUCUGUUAUUAGGGAAGAACAAAUGUGUAAGUAACUAUGCACGUCUUGACGGUACCUAAUCAGAAAGCCACGGCUAACUACGUG
rnacentral:rRNA from 1 species